UCAUGCUUCCAUGAAAUGCAACACAUCACAAACAUAUCACAUAAGGAUGGUAUUGUCACCUAUAGUCCUCAACAUAGUCCAAUCGUGCCAGGGGCGUAGAAUGGGCCUCACUGGUCUUUCUCUUACAUACAUAACAUAACAUAACAUUCCAAUAUGCCAGGGGCGUAGAAUGGGCCUCACUGGCAAUCCAUACCGUAUCAUCAUCAUAUCAUACCAUAGGAGGACUAGAGGAUCAUCCAAUAGCCAAUCCGCAUCCACAUCAUAUUAUGCAAUGCAACAUAUUCGUGAAUACUAAUGCAAACAACCUAAAAUAUCACAUGGCAUAUAUGAUGCAUGAACAUGCU
rnacentral:lncRNA from 1 species